CCUACGGGAGGCAGCAGUGGGGAAUAUUGGACAAUGGGCGCAAGCCUGAUCCAGCAAUACCGCGUGUGUGAAGAAGGCCUGAGGGUUGUAAAGCACUUUCAAUAGGGAGGAAAAAGCGUUGGUUAAUAGCUGAUGCCUGACAUACC
rnacentral:rRNA from 1 species